AUAACAUUAUAUAUAUUAUGAUUCCAUAUGCAAUUGGUAACAAGUACACAUUAUAAAUCAAUAUUCAAUAAAUCAAACAACAACCUUUCAUUUUAUCGGCCUACUGGUAUUCAUAGGGAUUCAUAGGGAUGUUCCCGCUACGCGUGAACCAUUUCUUUCAACAUUCGCAAUUAAAGGGUCGCCCCAUAUCCUGUCCAGUAUGAACGCCAAACUAUUAGACUUCACUAACCCAUCCGGU
rnacentral:lncRNA from 1 species